GACGAACGCUGGCGGCGUGCCUAACACAUGCAAGUAGAACGCUGACGCAGUAGCUUGCUUCUCUGGAUGAGUUGCGAACGGGUGAGUAACGCGUAGGUAACCUGCCUGGCAGUUUGGAUAACUAUUGGAAACGAUAGCUAAUACCGCUUAAUAUUGACUAUUGCAUGAUAGUCAGUUGAAAGGUGCAACUGCACCCCUAUCAGAUGGCCCUGCGUUGGAUUGGUUGUUUGGUGGGGUAACGGCCAACCAAGGCGCGGAUACAUAGCCGACCUGAGGGGGGGAUCGGCCAAACUGGGACUGAGACACGGCCCAGAAUCCUACGGGGAGCAGCAGGAGGGAAUCUUCGGCAAUGGGCGGAAGUCUGACCGAGCAACGCCGCGGGAGUGAAGAAGGUCUUCGGGUCGUAAAGCUCUGUUGUAAGGGAAGAACGAGUGUGAGGGUGGAAAGCUGACACUGUGACGGUAUCUGACCAGAAAGCGACGGCUAACUACGUG
rnacentral:rRNA from 1 species